rnacentral:rRNA from 1 species
CGUGAUUUGGGCUAUAUUACGGACCCAAAAUUACUUUUUCAAGCAUUGUUUUCGAAUAUUUUUCAUGCAUCAAAGCUCGUUAAGACUAGAUGGGGUAUCCCUACAUGGCGGGUGGGACCCACGGCGAACGGUUCAUCAAGACUUAAAAAAAGAAUAGAUACGAUUGCAUUGCAUAUACUAACGGAUGCGAUCAUACCAGCACUAAUGCACCGGAUCCCAUAAGAACUCCGCAGUUAAGCGUGCUUGGGCGAGAGUAGUACUAGGAUGGGUGACCUCCCGGGAAGUCCUCGUGUUGCAUCCCUCUUUUUUUUUUUUUUUUUUUUGGUUAAAACUUUAUGACUCUAUAACUUCUAUACCGUGAGGCCAAACUUGGCAUGUGAUACCUUUUCGGAAAGCCCAAAGAGAGCCCUCCGACGAAAGAAGCAAGACAAUGGAACUUUUCCAUUGACUUUUUGUCGACUCCAAAUUUUGACCUUUACCUACUUUUUCGGGAAUCA